UGGGGAAUAUUGCACAAUGGGCGCAAGCCUGAUGCAGCCAUGCCGCGUGUGUGGAGAAGGCCUUCGGGUUGUAAAGCACUUUCAGCGAGGAGGAAGGUGGUGAACUUAAUACGUUCAUCAAUUGACGUUACUCGCAGAAGAAGCACCGGCUAACUCCGUGCCAGCAGCCGCGGUAAUACGGAGGGUGCAAGCGUUAAUCGGAAUUACUGGGCGUAAAGCGCACGCAGGCGGUUUGUUAAGUCAGAUGUGAAAUCCCCGGGCUCAACCUGGGAACUGCAUUUGAAACUGGCAAGCUAGAGUCUCGUAGAGGGGGGUAGAAUUCCAGGUGUAGCGGUGAAAUGCGUAGAGAUCUGGAGGAAUACCGGUGGCGAAGGCGGCCCCCUGGACGAAGACUGACGCUCAGGUGCGAAAGCGUGGGGCAGCAAACAGGAUUAGAUACCCUGGUAGUCCACGCUGUAAACGAUGUCGAUUUGGAGGUUGUGCCCUUGAGGCGUGGCUUCCGGAGCUAACGCGUUAAAUCGACCGCCUGGGGAGUACGGCCGCAAGGUUAAAACUCAAAGGAAUUG
rnacentral:rRNA from 1 species